rnacentral:rRNA from 1 species
UUUCGCAAUGCCCGAAAGGGUGACGAAGCGACGCCGCGUGGGUGAGGAAGGCCUUCGGGUUGUAAAGCCCUGUCAGGAGUUAAGAAAUGUGGGCUCGCUAAUAUCGGGUCUAUUUGACAAAGGCUCCAAAGGAAGCCACGGCUAACUCUGUGCCAGCAGCCGCGGUAAUACAGAGGUGGCAAGCGUUGUUCGGAAUUAUUGGGCGUAAAGAGCGCGUAGGUGGAUUUGUAAGUCAGAUGUGAAAGCCUUCUGUUCAACGGGAGAAUUGCAUCUGAAACUGCGAAUCUUGAGUAUAGGAGGGGAGAAUGGAACUUCUGGUGGAGCGGUGAAAUGCGUAGAUAUCAGAAGGAACGCCGGCGGCGAAAGCGAUUCUCUGGCCUAUUACUGACACUGAGUGUGCGAAAGCUAGGGGAGCAAACGGGAUUAGAUACCCCGGUAGUCCUAGCCGUAAACGAUGGGCACUAAGUAGAGGGGUUUUA